UACGGAGGGGCUAGCGUGUUCGGAAUUACUGGGCGUAAAGCGCGCGUAGGCGGACCUGCAAGUCGGGGGUGAAAGCCCGAGGCUCAACCUCGGAACUGCCUUCGAUACUGCGGGUCUCGAGUCCGGGAGAGGUGAGUGGAAUUCCUAGUGUAGAGGUGAAAUUCGUAGAUAUUAGGAAGAACACCAGUGGCGAAGGCGGCUCACUGGCCCGGUACUGACGCUGAGGC
rnacentral:rRNA from 1 species